GGUGACAGAGUGAGGGGAUGACUGGUGACUGAGUGAGGGGAUGACUGGUGACUGAGUGAGGGGAUGACUAGUGACAGAGUGAGGGAGUGACUAAUGACAGAGGGAGGGAGUGACUAGUGACAGAGAGAGGGAGUGACUAGUGACCGAGUGAAGGAGGGGGUGACUGUCACUAGUCACCCCAUCCCUCUCUCUGUCACUAGUCACUCCCUCCCUAACUCUGUCACUGUGUCGCCCGCUCCCUCACUCUGUCACUAGUCACCCCCUCACUCUGUCACCCCCUCCCUCCCUCUGUCCCUAGUCACCCCCUUCUUCACUCUGUCACUAGUCACCCCAUCCCUCUCU